AACGAACGCUGGCGGCACGCCUAACACAUGCAAGUCGAGCGCUUCACUUCGGUGAGGAGCGGCGGACGGGUUAGUAACGCGUGGGAACAUACCCUUUUCUAAGGAAUAGCCACUGGAAACGGUGAGUAAUACCUUAUACGCCCUUCGGGGGAAAGAUUUAUCGGUGAAGGAUUGGCCCGCGUUAGAUUAGUUUGUUGGUGGGGUAAUGGCCUACCAAGACUACGAUCUAUAGCUGGUUUGAGAGGAUGAUCAGCAACACUGGGACUGAGACACGGCCCAGACUCCUACGGGAGGCAGCAGUGGGGAAUCUUAGACAAUGGGCGCAAGCCUGAUCUAGCGAUGCCGCGUGAGUGAUGAAGGCCUUAGGGUCGUAAAGCUCUUUCGCCAGGGAUGAUAAUGACAGUACCUGGUAAAGAAACCCCGGCUAACUCCGUGCCAGCAGCCGCGGUAAUACGGAGGGGGUUAGCGUUGUUCGGAAUUACUGGGCGUAAAGCGUACGUAGGCGGAUCAGAAAGUAAGGGGUGAAAUCCCAGGGCUCAACCCUGGAACUGCCUCUUAAACUCCUGGUCUUGAGUUCGAGAGAGGUGAGUGGAAUUCCAAGUGUAGAGGUGAAAUUCGUAGAUAUUUGGAGGAACACCAGUGGCGAAGGCGGCUCACUGGCUCGAUACU
rnacentral:rRNA from 1 species